rnacentral:rRNA from 1 species
ACUCGUAGACUCCUACGGGAGGCAGCAGUGGGGAAUAUUGCACAUGGGGGAAACCCUGAUGCAGCCAUGCCGCGUGUGUGAAGAAGGCCUUCGGGUUGUAAAGCACUUUCAGUCGUGAGGAAGGUAGUGUAGUUAAUAGCUGUAUUAUUUGACGUUAGCGACAGAAGAAGCACCGGCUAANUCCCGUGCCAGCAGCCGCGGUAAUACGGAGGGUGCGAGCGUUAAUCGGAAUUACUGGGCGUAAAGCGCAUGCAGGUGGUUUGUUAAGUCAGAUGUGAAAGCCCGGGGCUCAACCUCGGAAUUGCAUUUGAAACUGGCAGACUAGAGUACUGUAGAGGGGGUAGAAUUUCAGGUGUAGCGGUGAAAUGCGUAGAGAUCUGAAGGAAUACCGGUGGCGAAGGCGGCCCCCUGGACAGAUACUGACACUCAGAUGCGAAAGCGUGGGGAGCAAACAGGAUUAGAUACCCUGGUAG